rnacentral:rRNA from 1 species
UACAGAGGUCUCAAGCGUUGUUCGGAUUCAUUGGGCGUAAAGAGCUCGUAGGCGGCUUGUUGCGUCAGCUGUGAAAAACCCGCAGCUCAACUGUGGGCUUGCAGCUGAUACGGGCGGGCUGGAGUUCGGUAGGGGAGACUGGAAUUCCUGGUGUAGCGGUGAAAUGCGCAGAUAUCAGGAGGAACACCGGUGGCGAAGGCGGGUCUCUGGGCCGAUACUGACGCUGAGGAGCGAAAGCGUGGGGAGCGAACAGG